rnacentral:rRNA from 1 species
GCACGAAGCCGGAAUCGCUAGUAAUCGCAGAUCAGCAUGCUGCGGUGAAUACGUUCCCGGGUCUUGUACACACCGCCCGUCACACCAUGGGAGUCGGAAAUGCCCGAAGUCAGUGGCCCAACCGCAAGGAGGGAGCUGCCGAAGGCAGGUCCGGUGACUGGGGUGAAGUCGUAACAAGGUACC